rnacentral:lncRNA from 1 species
AUCCUGCCAUUGAUGACCAAACCUCCCCGAAAUCUUCUUAUCGGUUGCUGCCAAGAUGAGAAGGACAGCAGGAAAGAGGAGUGUGUUAUUGCUCCCACUAUGCAAGGAAGUUGAACUGUUUUCCUGAGCACAUCCAGAAUUAAUUCAGCCCAAGCUGAUCAGGUUAUCGCAUGCUGGUUACUGCUGGCCUGGGUCGUUCUGAUGGAAGAGCAGGGAGCACACAGAGCAGCUGUAUCAAUGGCUCCCCUGGGAAGGGGUGUUACCAACAGGGGAGUUGUGGAGCUGGUGGUGGUGGUUUGGUGUUUGCAGCAGGUGCAGCUGCGUCUCUAAGUUUUACACAUGUGGAAAAAUACUUUGUUAAAGCAGCUCCUGGGUGAACAGGGGUAAUUAAAGGACUGCGCCGCUUUUAUUGGAGUUGACACAUGCUGCACGUUCUUCAAAACCCAGUAUGUGAGCAGAACGCUUCCAGAAUUUAUUGCCAGUCAGACAAGUAGAGAUACUUUUAAUAGGAGUAAAGAUAAACUUCAGUUUUUACACUGUUAAAUAAAACUGUCUUUAGGAAAGGAACUAUGACUGAU